AUACGGAGGACGCGAGCGUUAUCCGGAUUCAUUGGGUUUAAAGGGUGCGCAGGCGGCCGUGCAAGUCAGCGGUGAAGGCCCGGGGCUCAACCCCGGAAGUGCCGUUGAUACUGCAUGGCUGGAAUGCGGUCGAGGCGGGGGGAAGGUGGGGUGUGUGGGGGAAAUGCGUAGAUAUGCCACAGAACGCCGAUAGCGGAGGCAGCUCGCCAGGCCUGCAUUGACGCUCGGGCACGAAAGCGUGGGGAUCGAACAGGAUUAGAUACCCUGGUAGUCCACGCCGUAAACGAUGGGCGCUCGUCGUCGGCGGCAGACAGUCGGCGGCCAAGCGAAAGCGAUAAGCGCCCCACCUGGGGAGUACGGUCGCAAGGCUGAAACUUAAAGGAAUUGACGGGG
rnacentral:rRNA from 1 species